UAUAGCUCCCCCAUAACUUUAUCCAUCAAUUCAAUUAAACAAUCAUAAUCCAUCUUACGUAUCGAGCUGACUUAUAUCAUUAUAAGUGCAAAAAUGCUAGAAUGAGUAACAAGAAAAUACAAUUUUCUCCUCACAUAGGUGUUAGUCAGAACAGAUUACCUACUGACAAUUACUGAUAAUGAACACAAUGUAUUAACCUGUCAUAAGCAAGAAAACCCUACACUGAUAUAUCAUAAAUUCUACACUGAAGUGUGCUUGGAAAAAUUAAAGGGGGGAGAAGGAAUUCGGCAACUAUGGGCCUCGCCUGUUUACCAAAAACAUCGCCUCCUGCCAAAUAUAGGAGGUACUGCCUGCCCUGUGACUCUGUUUAACGGCCGCGGUAUUUUGACCGUGCGAAGGUAGCGUAAUCACUUGUCUCUUAAUUAGGGACCUGUAUGAAUGGCAACACGAGGGUCCAACUGUCUCCUCCCCCAGAUUAGUGAAAUUGAUCUAUCCGUUCAAAAGCGGAUAUUUUUUCAUAAGACGAGAAGACCCUGUGGAGCUUAAAGUUCUAAUAUUAAACAUGAGCGUAAAUAUAUACUUUAAGUUUUGUAAUAUUAAAUACUUUCGGUUGGGGCGACCACGGAGUAUAAAAAACCCUCCGCAAUACAAUUCUAUUUUAAGAAGGACACUUCUCAAACUAGAAUAUCUAGCACAAUUGACCCAGUCUAACUGAGCAAUGAACCAAGUUACCCCAGGGAUAACAGCGCAAUCCCCUUUAAGAGUCCCCAUCGACGAGGGGGUUUACGACCUCGAUGUUGGAUCAGGGUAUCCUGGUGGUGCAGCCGCUACCAAGGGUUUGUUUGUUCAACAAUUAAUAUCCUACGUGAUCUGAGUUCAUACCGGAGC
rnacentral:rRNA from 1 species